AUGUGUCGCCUACGUGGCGGAUCAUCCUCCAAGGAUGAUCCAUCACCAUACCAUGUAGUCUUAAGGAAUCAGACACUGGUCUAGCUGCACCUAGCCAAUGGGAUCUUGUUUCCGAUAAACAAAUGAUGCAAGAGGAGCAACCUAUUCAGGUGGCUAGAUGCACAAAGAUAAUUAACCCAAACACAGAAGACGCAAAAUACGUUAUCAGUGUCAAACAAAUUGCAAAGUUUGCUGUUGGGUUGGUGACAAAGUUUCACCAACUGAUAUCGAAAAAGGCAUGCGUGUUGGGUAGGUUGCAGUGUUCAUUAUUCGUUUUUAACUUUAACGAUUUUUCAAAGUAAUCAUUAUUCGUUUUGAGAGAUUAGUACAGAGAGAUAUUAAGGUAUGCAACAUUUAUAUCAAAUCCUUUUAAACCUUAUUAAGAAUGUUAAGUUUUGAUUAGUUGUACCAAUAUUGCAUGAUUUUAAUAUUUCUAAGUGCAUCAUGAUAGGUGACAUAAAGUCUCAUUACAUAAUUUUAUCAUAAUCUACCGAAGGUUUUGUCAGGUCGUGGGAGCAUGUUCAGUUUACAUUCUGCAUU